rnacentral:rRNA from 1 species
UACGAAGGGGGCUAGCGUUGUUCGGAUUUACUGGGCGUAAAGCGCACGUAGGCGGAUCGUUAAGUCGGGGGUGAAAUCCUGGAGCUCAACUCCAGAACUGCCUUCGAUACUGGCGAUCUUGAGUCCGGAAGAGGUGAGUGGAUCUCCUAGUGUAGAGGUGGAAUUCGUAGAUAUUAGGAAGAACACCAGUGGCGAAGGCGGCUCACUGGUCCGGUACUGACGCUGAGGCGCGAAAGCGUGGGGAGCAAACAGG